ACGAUGCCGCAAUCGAUAUCGACGGCAUCAUGCGACGCAUGGAAUGGCUGGUGGACAAGGUGAUAGCCGACGGCUGGUUCGAGGCGCAUGUUCUGCCGCAACUGCAUGUGCUGAUCUGGGGCAACAGACGCGGCGUCUAAAGCGGUUCCGGCUAGAGCGUAUCCCGAAAAGUGUGAAACGGUUUUCGGAAAAGAUGCGCGUCAAAACAAAGGAUUAGAGCGCCGAUCUGAUUCAAU
rnacentral:misc_RNA from 1 species